AGUGAACGCUGGCGGUAGGCCUAACACAUGCAAGUCGAACGGCAGCACAGUAAGAGCUUGCUCUUACGGGUGGCGAGCGGCGGACGGGUGAGGAAUACAUCGGAAUCUACUUUUUCGUGGGGGAUAACGUAGGGAAACUUACGCUAAUACCGCAUACGACCUACGGGUGAAAGCAGGGGAUCUUCGGACCUUGCGCGAUUGAAUGAGCCGAUGUCGGAUUAGCUAGUUGGCGGGGUAAAGGCCCACCAAGGCGACGAUCCGUAGCUGGUCUGAGAGGAGAAUCAGCCACACUGGAACUGAGACCAGGUCCAGACUCCUACGGGAGGCAGCAGUGGGGAAUAUUGGACAAUGGGCGCAAGCUUGAUCCAGCCAUGCCGCGUGGGUGAAAAAGGCCUUCGGGUUGUAAAGCCCUUUUGUUGGGAAAGAAAUCCAGCCGGCUAAUACCUGGUUGGGAUGACGGUACCCAAAGAAUAAGCACCGGCUAACUUCGUGCCAGCAGCCGCCGUAA
rnacentral:rRNA from 1 species